GAUGAACGCUGGCGGCGUGCCUAAUACAUGCGAGUCGAGCGAACGGACGAGAAGCUUGCUUCUCUGAUGUUAGCGGCGGACGGGUGAGUAACACGUGGAUAACCUACCUAUAAGACUGGGAUAACUUCGGGAAACCGGUGCUAAUACUGGAUGAUAUUUUGAACCGCAUGGUUCAAAAGUGAAAGACGGUCUUGCUGUCACUUAUAGAUGGAUCCGCGCUGCAUUAGCUAGUUGGUAAGGUAACGGCUUACCAAGGCAACGAUGCAUAGCCGACCUGAGAGGGUGAUCGGCCACACUGGAACUGAGACACGGUCCAGACUCCUACGGGAGGCAGCCGUAGGGAAUCUUCCGCAAUGGGCGAAAGCCUGACGGAGCAACGCCGCGUGAGUGAUGAAGGUCUUCGGAUCGUAAAACUCUGUUAUUAGGGAAGAACAUAUGUGUAAGUAACUGUGCACAUCUUGACGGUACCUAAUCAGAAAGCCACGGCUAACUACGUG
rnacentral:rRNA from 1 species